CUAUGAUGUGGAGGCCAUGGCUCCACUGGACUCACGAGGAGACUGAGGCUCAGAGCAAUGAAGUGACCUGCUCAAAGUUAAGGAGCUUCAGGGAAGACCCAAUUUUUUCUGAUCCUAAGGUCACUAUCCUUAAUCCCUCUCCCUGUGGGGUCUUCCCUAUCUUGAGCCUGUGGACAGCUGUGCAGUGGCAAGAGAAAGGCCUUCAGAACUAUGCAGACCUGGCUUCAAGUCCCAGCCUUCCUGAUGAGCCCUGGUGGUCUUGCAUGCUUACCCUUGGGACUCAGACACCAUAUUGUGAGGAAGCCCAAGCUACAUGCAGAGGCCACUAUAGUUGUUCUGGCCAACAGCCCAAGCUUCAGCUACCAGACAUAUGAAUAAACCAACUCUUCAGAUGA